rnacentral:rRNA from 1 species
AUUGAACGCUGGCUGCAGGCUUAACACAUGCAAGUCAAGCGGGGUGAUGGUGCUUGCACUAUCACUUAGCGGCGGACGGGUGAGUAAUGCCUAGGAAUCUGCCCGAUAGUGGGGGACAACGUUUCGAAAGGAACGCUAAUACCGCAUACGUCCUACGGGAGAAAGUGGGGGCUCUUCGGACCUCACGCUAUCGGAUGAGCCUAGGUCGGAUUAGCUAGUUGGUGGGGUAAAGGCACACCAAGGAGACGAUCCGUAACUGGUCUGAGAGGAUGAUCAGUCACACUGGAGCUGAGACACGGUCCAGACUCCUCCGGGAGGCAGCGGUGGGGAAUAUGGGACAAUGGGCGAAAGCCUGAUCCAGCCAUGCCGCGUGUGUGAAGAAGGUCUUCGGAUUGUAAAGCACUUUAGGUCGGGAGGAAGGGCUGUAGGUUAAUACCUUGCAGCCUUGACGUUACCGACAGAAUAAGCACCGGCUAACUUCGUGCCAGCAGCCGCCGUAA